AUUGAACGCUGGCGGCAUGCCUUACACAUGCAAGUCGAACGGCAGCGCGGGCUUCGGCCUGGCGGCGAGUGGCGAACGGGUGAGUAAUGCAUCGGAACGUGCCCAGUAGUGGGGGAUAGCCCAGCGAAAGCCGGAUUAAUACCGCAUACGACCUGAGGGUGGAAGCGGGGGACCGAAAGGCCUCGCGCUAUUGGAGCGGCCGAUGUCGGAUUAGCUAGUUGGUGGGGUAAAGGCUUACCAAGGCGACGAUCCGUAGCUGGUCUGAGAGGACGACCAGCCACACUGGGACUGAGACACGGCCCAGACUCCUACGGGAGGCAGCAGUGGGGAAUUUUGGACAAUGGGGGCAACCCUGAUCCAGCCAUGCCGCGUGCGGGAAGAAGGCCUUCGGGUUGUAAACCGCUUUUGUUCGGGAAGAAAUCCUCUGGGCUAAUACCCCGGGGGGAUGACGGUACCGGAAGAAUAAGCACCGGCUAACUACGUG
rnacentral:rRNA from 1 species